rnacentral:rRNA from 1 species
UUGAAGAGUUUGAUCAUGGCUCAGAUUGAACGCUGGCGGCAGGCCUAACACAUGCAAGUCGAACGGUAACAGGAAGCAGCUUGCUGCUUUGCUGACGAGUGGCGGACGGGUGAGUAAUGUCUGGGAAACUGCCUGAUGGAGGGGGAUAACUACUGGAAACGGUGGCUAAUACCGCAUAAUGUCGCAAGACCAAAGAGGGGGACCUUCGGGCCUCUUGCCAUCAGAUGUGCCCAGAUGGGAUUAGCUUGUUGGUGAGGUAACGGCUCACCAAGGCGACGAUCCCUAGCUGGUCUGAGAGGAUGACCAGCCACACUGGAACUGAGACACGGUCCAGACUCCUACGGGAGGCAGCAGUGGGGAAUAUUGCACAAUGGGCGCAAGCCUGAUGCAGCCAUGCCGCGUGUAUGAAGAAGGCCUUCGGGUUGUAAAGUACUUUCAGCGGGGAGGAAGGUGUUGUGGUUAAUAACCGCAGCAAUUGACGUUACCCGCAGAAGAAGCACCGGCUAACUCCGUGCCAGCAGCCGCGGUAAUACGGAGGGUGCAAGCGUUAAUCGGAAUUACUGGGCGUAAAGCGCACGCAGGCGGUCUGUCAAGUCGGAUGUGAAAUCCCCGGGCUCAACCUGGGAACUGCAUUCGAAACUGGCAGGCUUGAGUCUUGUAGAGGGGGGUAGAAUUCCAGGUGUAGCGGUGAAAUGCGUAGAGAUCUGGAGGAAUACCGGUGGCGAAGGCGGCCCCCUGGACAAAGACUGACGCUCAGGUGCGAAAGCGUGGGGAGCAAACAGGAUUAGAUACCCUGGUAGUCCACGCCGUAAACGAUGUCUACUUGGAGGUUGUGCCCUUGAGGCGUGGCUUCCGGAGCUAACGCGUUAAGUAGACCGCCUGGGGAGUACGGCCGCAAGGUUAAAACUCAAAUGAAUUGACGGGGGCCCGCACAAGCGGUGGAGCAUGUGGUUUAAUUCGAUGCAACGCGAAGAACCUUACCUGGUCUUGACAUCCACGGAAGUUUUCAGAGAUGAGAAUGUGCCUUCGGGAACCGUGAGACAGGUGCUGCAUGGCUGUCGUCAGCUCGUGUUGUGAAAUGUUGGGUUAAGUCCCGCAACGAGCGCAACCCUUAUCCUUUGUUGCCAGCGGUCCGGCCGGGAACUCAAAGGAGACUGCCAGUGAUAAACUGGAGGAAGGUGGGGAUGACGUCAAGUCAUCAUGGCCCUUACGACCAGGGCUACACACGUGCUACAAUGGCGCAUACAAAGAGAAGCGACCUCGCGAGAGCAAGCGGACCUCAUAAAGUGCGUCGUAGUCCGGAUUGGAGUCUGCAACUCGACUCCAUGAAGUCGGAAUCGCUAGUAAUCGUGGAUCAGAAUGCCACGGUGAAUACGUUCCCGGGCCUUGUACACACCGCCCGUCACACCAUGGGAGUGGGUUGCAAAAGAAGUAGGUAGCUUAACCUUCGGGAGGGCGCUUACCACUUUGUGAUUCAUGACUGGGGUGAAGUCGUAACAAGGUAACCGUAGGGGAACCUGCGGUUGGAUCACCUCCUU